UGGCCGGCGCGGCCCGCCCCUCCCCUGGGAUCGCGUGGGGCUGCAGAGUCCCGGGGUCGCUGUCCCGGGGUUGCACAGCACCAUUUCAGGGGCCGCCGGUCCGGUCCUCAGGCUCACUGCUUCCCGGGGUGGCCUCGGCGUUGCCCCGUACUCAGAGGGGAGCGCGCAACGCAGAACCCGCUUGCCUGGCCUGGCAGCUCUCCCCUGACCUCAGGGCUGGCCAGCAUCUAGUGACCCCGCCGCCCUGGGCCAGACGCACGCAUACAGUGGGUACUAUCCUUCGCUUGCCUUGUGGGGCAACCACAGCAGACACCCGCAGCCAGGUGAAGGACUGCGUCCUGGGUCAGAGCGCUCGCCUGGUGGGACAUGCGCGGGGCAGUGGGCAGAGCCCGCUGUUCCCUGGGCACUGGGGCAGGUUCAGAAGCCGGACUCUAAGAAGCAGGAGAUGUUCUCCGCAGACCACGGGGCCAAGACCUCACAGGGGAAGAAGGCCUGGAGCGUACUCUUCCUGGGUCCUGGUGGUUUGCUCCCCCAGGGUGACCAGGGAGAUUUAGGGCUUGAGCAGAAACCUUGAGGAGACAGGGGGAGAAGGGAGGUCCAGACCCAGGGCCUCCAAGUGCAAGGACAGAAGGCCGAGUUGAGAGGUGCCAGGAGCAGGCCUCCUUGCAGACCUGAGGGCUGGGGAGGGCCCUGCUCUCCUGUUCUGACCGCAGUCGGGUAUGGGCACCAGCAUUCUGCCCCAGGCUUUGUGAAUUUCUACUCCUCCUUUCCUGCCUGCACUCUGCUCCAUGGGUUUCCUUCAGAGCACUUGGGAUUGUUUACUCUUUCAGUUUGACUGGCUCCUUCAGGCAGAACCUGAGCACCCACAGGGCAGACAUUUCAGUCUGUUUUGUUUACAGCUGGACUCUACGUGGGUUGCUGGUGCUGGAGAGUUACCUUUCGCAUGAACAUCGGGCCAAGCUCACACGGACUGCCCCAUGAGUCAUGUUUUCCUCUACACCCUCCCAACGUGGACUUCCAACCCCAGUUAUAUCACAGGUUCACUUGCAGUGAGAUUUACCUCUCUCUCCUUGAACUACAAGACGUAACUAUUCAUGUCUUUCUCGUUGUUGGGUGUGAGCUAUUUUUUAGUACUACCAACUGUCUACUGAAUACCGUGUUCAGUUUUCCAGUGAAUUCUGCCAGGGAGAAACCUACUUUUCCAUUUUACAGAGAAGGACACUGGUGGCCAGAGGGAAUCAAUGGCCUGGUAAGGCUGCAGGGCUAACCCACUGGGCGGCAGGCCUUGCCUGCCCAGGGCCUGCAACUACGAGGCGCUGUUUUUCAUUCAUUGCCCACCCUGUGUGCUCAUACCCAGGGGCCUCCAUCUCUGUAGGCAGUCAGAAAAACUCUGGAACAAAUGAAUCUAUUCACAAGCCAUUAUGAGUUAUCCAUUAGUUUUAAUUUACAUUCAUCUGUCAAAACAGCCCAAUCAUUCUCUCAUGUGAUCAGAGCAAAGGGCAGACUGACAGGAGCCGUCAGGCAGGUUAAGAACUGGACCCUGAAGCCUGGCUUGGGGCCCACAUCUUGACUGUCCCUUUCUUGCUAUGUGAUCCUCAUCAGGUUACUGAAGCUCUUUCUGUCUCAAUUUCUCUGCCUAUAAAAUAGGGAAACUAAUGGGAUGUACUUUUGGGGUGUCUGAGGAUUCAUUGCCAUAGUAUUUGUAAGACAUUCAGAAAUUUCCUGGCAGGAAGGAAGGGCCUUGUAAGAUCUAGCUUUCCAGUUUUUCUAUGGAGAAAUGAAAGCACCAUGCCCAAAUUCAGUGGCUCCUCUUUGGGUUUUUAAUUCGUCUUCCUUUCUCUUCCUUUGAGCUACUGCCGUAGCAGAGCAAUGAGCCAUUUGGAUGAGGAUGGUCCUUGUCAACCAUGAGCAGGUUUCAGCCUGCAGCUGGCCCUGUUCCUCUGGGCCUGUGGGGGCACAGCAAACCAUGGCAGCCGGAGCCUGUGGCAGAGGAGGCUGCUCACCCCAAGCCAACCAGGAAGCAGGAAAAAGAGACGGGGGAGGCAGGACCCAAGGGCCCUCAAGGACACACCAAGGGGCUCACCUCCUCUCAGUAGGGCCCACCUCCUAAGAAGGGAAGCCAGGGCACGCCUCGCACACGGCUGGUGGGAGCACGGGGCGGCACAGCCACUUGGGAACAUAGCUUGGCUUUUCCUCACAAAGCUAAAGACGCUCCUCCCUUCGCUCCAGCCGUCUCUCCUUGGAAUUUAGCCGAGGCUGAAAACUUACAUUAUCACAAAGAAGCAUGCAUGGGUGUUUACAGCAGCUCCACACACAAUAGUCCAAACUGAGAGGCUGGCGGAGGGGGGGCACCCUGAGUUACCAGCAUGGCACACUCCUGUGACAUGCCCGGGCCCUGGUAGGCACCUGAGAGUCCUCAGAGACGGUGCCCCAUCUGAUCCACGGGAGGGAGCAGAGAGCAAGUCACACACUGCCAUCUUCCCAUGAUUCUAGUGUUAGAGCAAGCUGUGAGUCCAGCCCUUACCCAGCUGCUGGGAGGGACAGCGAAGGACUUACAGAUGGGCCUUUAAACCCCGCUGUCAUUCAGCUGCAUUCCAUUAUCUCUAAGUUGGCACUGUCCCCAGCAGUGGCUGCUGGCUGCAUGUUGCUCUUGAACAUUUGCAAUUGGUCCAAGUCGAGAUGCACGUAAAUAUAAAUGGAACAGAUUUUGAAGAUUCGGUAUGAAAACAAAUGGCAGAAUGUUGUUGUUUAUUUUACGAUAUUGCUACGUGUUAAAUGGUAGUAUACUGCAUUUCUAUUGAACUGGGCCCUAAAAGCAGAGAGACACUCAAACCAACCUGAACACUGGGGGCCAGGGCCAGGUGGUGGCAGAGGCUGCAGUGACCUGUUUGCAAGCCAAGGGCUUUCAGGAAGAGCUGGCGGCCAUCAGAAGCCACGAAACAAGGAAGGGAGUCCACCUACGGACAGAUGGGUCCAUCUCCUUCAGUAUUUUAGAGGUUUAUUGACCAGGCUUCUGGGUUUUAAUAAAACAGGAUUUCACAAACUCUUGAUUUAGAAUAGUAAGUAGAAAAUAGUAAAAAUAGAUUUCUACUAGAGAACUUCUGAGUCUGCAAAUAAGUUUUGAAAAGAGGGAGAGAUUGGUGGG